UACGGAGGGGGCUAGCGUUGUUCGGAAUUACUGGGCGUAAAGCGCACGUAGGCGGCUUUGCACGUUUGAGGUGAAAGCCUGGAGCUCAACUCCAGAAUUGCCUUUAAGACUGCAUCGCUUGAAUCCAGGAGAGGUGAGUGGAAUUCCGGGUGUAGAGGUGGAAUUCGUAGAUAUUCGGAGGAACACCAAUGGCGAAGGCGGGUCACUGGACUGGUAUUGACGCUGAGGUGCGAAAGCAUGGGGAGCAAACAGG
rnacentral:rRNA from 1 species